CGUGGUGGAGGUGAGUUUCAUUAGCCCUUUCUUUGUUCCAUGGUUUCGCUCCACGAAGUCGGCAAGUUGCGAAAGCGAUAGAGGGGAUGAAGCAUCCAUGAAAGUGGACUUGAUCUUCAGUAGCUCAUUCAAUUUUGCCGAUUUUUGAUCUGAAUCUUUGCCUAUUUCAUCCAAGGUUUUGGAGAUUUUGAAGAUGGAUGAGACAGUGAAGAUAGAGAACCUUCAAUCCGCUGCGGCAUUUGUGGAAGGGGGAAUCCAGGAUGCAUGUGAUGAUUCGUGCAGCAUUUGUCUUGAGUCUUUCUGUGACAGCAAUCCUGCAACUGCGACUAGCUGCAAGCAUGAGUUCCAUAUUCAAUGCAUUCUUGAAUGGUAU